rnacentral:rRNA from 2 species
GCAGUCGAACGAACUCUGGUAUUGAUUGGUGCUUGCAUCAUGAUUUACAUUUGAGUGAGUGGCGAACUGGUGAGUAACACGUGGGAAACCUGCCCAGAAGCGGGGGAUAACACCUGGAAACAGAUGCUAAUACCGCAUAACAACUUGGACCGCAUGGUCCGAGUUUGAAAGAUGGCUUCGGCUAUCACUUUUGGAUGGUCCCGCGGCGUAUUAGCUAGAUGGUGGGGUAACGGCUCACCAUGGCAAUGAUACGUAGCCGACCUGAGAGGGUAAUCGGCCACAUUGGGACUGAGACACGGCCCAAACUCCUACGGGAGGCAGCAGUAGGGAAUCUUCCACAAUGGACGAAAGUCUGAUGGAGCAACGCCGCGUGAGUGAAGAAGGGUUUCGGCUCGUAAAACUCUGUUGUUAAAGAAGAACAUAUCUGAGAGUAACUGUUCAGGUAUUGACGGUAUUUAACCAGAAAGCCACGGCUAACUACGUGCCAGCAGCCGCGGUAAUACGUAGGUGGCAAGCGUUGUCCGGAUUUAUUGGGCGUAAAGCGAGCGCAGGCGGUUUUUUAAGUCUGAUGUGAAAGCCUUCGGCUCAACCGAAGAAGUGCAUCGGAAACUGGGAAACUUGAGUGCAGAAGAGGACAGUGGAACUCCAUGUGUAGCGGUGAAAUGCGUAGAUAUAUGGAAGAACACCAGUGGCGAAGGCGGCUGUCUGGUCUGUAACUGACGCUGAGGCUCGAAAGUAUGGGUAGCAAACAGGAUUAGAUACCCUGGUAGUCCAUACCGUAAACGAUGAAUGCUAAGUGUUGGAGGGUUUCCGCCCUUCAGUGCUGCAGCUAACGCAUUAAGCAUUCCGCCUGGGGAGUACGGCCGCAAGGCUGAAACUCAAAGGAAUUGACGGGGGCCCGCACAAGCGGUGGAGCAUGUGGUUUAAUUCGAAGCUACGCGAAGAACCUUACCAGGUCUUGACAUACUAUGCAAAUCUAAGAGAUUAGACGUUCCCUUCGGGGACAUGGAUACAGGUGGUGCAUGGUUGUCGUCAGCUCGUGUCGUGAGAUGUUGGGUUAAGUCCCGCAACGAGCGCAACCCUUAUUAUCAGUUGCCAGCAUUAAGUUGGGCACUCUGGUGAGACUGCCGGUGACAAACCGGAGGAAGGUGGGGAUGACGUCAAAUCAUCAUGCCCCUUAUGACCUGGGCUACACACGUGCUACAAUGGAUGGUACAACGAGUUGCGAACUCGCGAGAGUAAGCUAAUCUCUUAAAGCCAUUCUCAGUUCGGAUUGUAGGCUGCAACUCGCCUACAUGAAGUCGGAAUCGCUAGUAAUCGCGGAUCAGCAUGCCGCGGUGAAUACGUUCCCGGGCCUUGUACACACCGCCCGUCACACCAUGAGAGUUUGUAACACCCAAAGUCGGUGGGGUAACCUUUUAGG